ACAACUCCCAUAAAGGUUGGGGGGGACGGGUUAGCCAAGAUGAAAAAAGAGAAUUUGUACGUUGCGCUUUGGCAACCCAAUCGGCAGCUUGAUUUGCAGAUCUAUUGCAAUGGGCCACAGUUAGGUUUGUGUAUUGGGCCAUUCGGAUAUGUGCUUCUCUGAUGAAAGCUGCCUAAUCCCAGCCGACUUCUCUCUGGUCCUGCAGCUUCUUUACUAUUUCAAGACAAUCAGUUUCUAUCACAAUUCCAUCUUUUCUCCUGUCGACGAAGUAGUCUAGAGCAUGUAGCAAAGCUUGCAGUUCUUUGUGCAACGGCGAGGUCGCGGGUACUGUCCUGGCGAAGCCUUCCAGCAAGGUACCAGCUUCAUUUCUGAGGAUUCCAAAAACCGCCCCUUUUGCUGCAUCUCCAAGGAAGGAUCCAUCUAUGUUGCUUUUGAAGGAGUUUCUCAUCGGUGGUUUCCAACACAGAGAUAGCUUCGGUCCAGGGGCAGAGAAGAAAUAUAUGCUCUACCGUUUCAGCUUCCUGAUCACAGAAGGGGCAUGCUGGUCGAGGUAAGAUUUUCCUCCUAUAGAGGUUUUCUGCUGUGGGGAGAGCAUUUUGGCAUACACUCCAUAGAAAUAUUCUAACCUUGGGUGGGAUUUUUAAAUUCCAGAUUAUGCACCAUAGCUUGCGGGAUGGCUUGAAAGAUGAUGAGGCUUGCAUUGCAUUUUGUGUGUUUUCCUUUUGAUGAAUCCGAUUGUAUGCACUUUUCACUGAGAAGACCCCCGACUUUGUAGCUGUCCACACAAGUUUGUCCUGUGUUGCAUGACUGCAUAGUGGUAUUGCUAACACCUCGUUAACAGUCUGCUCAUCAAACAUUCUUGCUAGCAAAUCUUCAUUCCA